rnacentral:rRNA from 1 species
GACGUAGGGCGCGAGCGUUGUCCGGAUUUAUUGGGCGUAAAGAGCUCGUAGGCGGCUUGUUGCGUCAGCUGUGAAAACCCGCAGCUCAACUGUGGGCUUGCAGCUGAUACGGGCAGGCUUGAGUUCGGUAGGGGAGACUGGAAUUCCUGGUGUAGCGGUGAAAUGCGUAGAUAUCUGGAGGAACACCGGUGGCGAAGGCGGCAUCCUGGACCGGCAUUGACGCUGAGGAGCGAAAGCCAGGGGAGCAAACGGG